rnacentral:snoRNA from 1 species
GGUGCAGAUGAUGCCUGCUAGUGACAAAGCCUGAUAACGACACGUGGUGCUGAGUCCUGGCUGACUGAUGGCACC